rnacentral:lncRNA from 10 species
CCUUUGCUCCAGGACCGGAUGCGGAGCCGGGACUCAGGUGGAGGCAGGAGAAAUACGCACCCUGGGUGCACCUGUAAGUCCUCCAGGACUACAUUGGUUUUGGCUAUGACAUGACCAGGGGCUCUGGGUCGGUGGUCACCGGGCGUGGGGCUUCUGGCUGCUAAAUCAGGAGAGUGAGCGGGCCGGGCGGCGGCGAAUGAGUUGACGGGUGGAGCUGGAAGAGGCUUUGGCGAUCCAGCGGGCAAGCGAAGGACACCGCGGGAAGGGGUGGUACCCGGAAACGCAGCUGGGCAGUCGCGCCGCUCCCCUGUCCUCGCCAGCGCGCUUUCUCUUCCUGGCCCCUGCGCCUCCUCCGGGCCCCGCGGUGGCGUGAAAGGCGCUCAGGACAGACUUGUAUUUGAAUCCAAGCUGUUCCACCCACACGCUUUUGUUCUUGGGCGAGUGACUUCUAUCUGACCCAGAGUUUUCCCAGACGAAAGUGGGAAGACGGUGCCUACCCCAAAGCGUCGUGGGAAUGAAAGUCAAUGAAGUGACAUAGGAAAGGUGCCUAGCACAUGGCAGAUUCCUAUCAGGCGAAGGCCGCCUUUCCUGGCCUCCCCCACAGGCCCGCCAGCGAUUCGUCCUUACAAGGCUAGCCUCCACGGGCUGCCCUCUGUGUAAAUAAAGCCACAGACUUCCGCCCACAGGUCGCCGCAGGUCCCGCCCGCAGCGCCGGGCCGCGGGGGAGGCGGGAACUGGUGCUACGGCCGCUACGCAGGCCUCGGGAGGCUCGGAGCCCGCCACGCCCCAGCCCUCUCGCAGGGCCGGGGAGCCACGGGGCCAAAAGGAGGAGCAGGUGGAAGAAAUCCAGGCUCAGACCGUCGGAGUCCCCACCCAUGAGCACCCUUCUCCACUGAUCACUCAGAACAUGGUAGGCCCUAGAGAGACAGCAGCCCGAAUCUUCCCAGAAACCCUGCAGGAGAUUCCUUCUUCCCAUUUUAUAGAAGGGAGGCUGAGGCUCGGCACGUUGAAAUGGCUUGACCAAGGUCCCACAGGCAAAAAAAUGGUACAGCAAGAUAUUGUAACCCAAUAUCUGGCUGCAAAACCCAGUCUCUCCCCAACCCACCUAUCGUCACCGAGAUUGUAAAACUUCUAACCGGGAAGAAUCAAAUACAUGCACAACGGGUUACAGGUUAACAGACAGAUGGGAGCGGAAAGGGACAUUCCAGCGCUUCCCUGGGCGUGUCGCACAGGGCAACUCCAACCACAGGCGAAUUUUCCUGGGUGACAGUUAAACUCCUUUUUGCAUGAAAAAAUACAGAUUCUUAUUAAAACAAUAAUCGAUUAGACUAUAAAACUCUCAAAGUUAUUUCGGAUCAAAAUUAUUUUCGGCUGUUUCCACACCUUUUUUUCUCGAUUGUGCAGAAAUUCUUCACACCGUCUGCACAGAUGGGCAAACUGAGACCCGGACGAGUCCCAUUGAGAGAGAGAGGCAGAGCCGGGGUUGGGAGAAGACUGAGAUUUCUGGGAUCCGGCUUGGGGUGUUUCCGCUGGGUGGGGGCGCCGGUUUGCGAAGAGCUUUCCUCGGACAGCUACUGCUGAUUUUUGUCGCUCAGCCAGCCAAGUGGGGGCGAUUCUGAGUAAUCGCAGGCAAUCAGCGCGGCUGGGGUUAAAAGCGAAAGGGACUCGCGGGCGAACGGCCGGGGAGGGCGGCGGGCACAGAGCCCAGACGCCGGCAAAGGCGGGGCGCCGCCGGGGUUCCCUCGGUGCGAGCGCGCGCGGCACUUCCUGCUUUUGCUCCUCCCUGCGGUCCUGCCGGCCGUUGUAAACUGGCGCUGCGGGCCACACCCGUGUUCCAGGCCCGCUAACCCACCGGCGGCCCCAGAGCCCCAGGCGGCCCCAGAGACCCAGCCUCAAUCCUCAGUCCUCGUACAGUCCUCAGGUCCAAGUUCUGGCCAUAGGAACGCCAGCCAGAUCUGCAGCUCAGCUAGCUGAAUUUCAGGUUCCAGAGACCUGGCCCUUUUCUUCCAUGUAGGGGACAGUCAGGUUCUCUGGCCUGGGUUUUCUAAAAGUACCCAGAGUUGAACUACCUUCCACUCAGCAAUCCCAUUACUGGGUCUGUACCGAAAGAAAAAUAAGUGGUUCUUCCAGAAAGACACAUGAAUCCCUAUGUUCAUCGAAGUGCUAUUCACAAUAGCAAAAACUUGGAAUCAACCCAGGUGCUUGUCAAUGGUGGAUUGGAUAAAGAAAAUAUGGCUCAUACACACCACGGAACACUAUGCAGUCAUAAAAAGAAUGAAAUCGUGUCCUUUGCAGCAACAUGGAUGCAGGUGGAGGCCAUUAUCCUAAGUGAACUAAUCAGGAAAAGAAAAUCAAAUACCACAUAUCCUCACUUAUAAGCAGGAGCUAAACAAUGGGUACACAUGGACAUAAAGGUGGACAUGAUAGACACUGAGGACUACUAGAGUUAGUGGGAGAGGGAGCAGAGCAAGGGCUGGAAAAUUACCUCUUGGGUGCUAUGCUCACUAUCUGAGUGACAAGCUCAAUUAUACUAAAAACCUCAGCAUUAGGCAAUAUACCUUUGUAACAAACCUGCACAUGUACCCCCAAUUAUAAAAUAAAAGUUGGGA